rnacentral:rRNA from 1 species
CCUACGGGAGGCAGCAGUAAGGAAUAUUGGACAAUGGACGCAAGUCUGAUCCAGCCAUGCCGCGUGAAGGAUUAAGGCCCUCUGGGUUGUAAACUUCUUUUAUAGGGGACGAAAAAAGGGCUUUCUAGCUCGACUGACGGUACCCUAUGAAUAAGCACCGGCUAACUCCGUGCCAGCAGCCGCGGUAAUACGGAGGGUGCAAGCGUUAUCCGGAUUCACUGGGUUUAAAGGGUGCGUAGGCGGGCAGUUAAGUCAGUGGUGAAAUCUUCGAGCUCAACUCGGAAACUGCCAUUGAUACUAUCUGUCUUGAAUAUUGUGGAGGUGAGCGGAAUAUGUCAUGUAGCGGUGAAAUGCUUAGAUAUGACAUAGAACACCGAUUGCGAAGGCAGCUCGCUACACAAAUAUUGACGCUGAGGCACGAAAGCGUGGGGAUCAAACAGGAUUAGAUACCCUGGUAGUCCACGCCCUAAACUAUGGAUACUCGACAUUUGCGAUACACAGUAAGUGUCUGAGCGAAAGCAUUAAGUAUCCCACCUGGGAAGUACGACCGCAAAGGUUGAAACUCAAAGGAAAUUGACGG